GACGGAGGAUGCAAGUGUUAUCCGGAAUCACUGGGCGUAAAGCGUCUGUAGGUGGUCAAAUAAGUCAACUGUUAAAUCUUGAGGCUCAACCUCAAAAUCGCAGUCGAAACUAUUAGACUAGAGUAUAGUAGGGGUAAAGGGAAUUUCCAGUGGAGCGGUGAAAUGCGUAGAGAUUGGAAAGAACACCGAUGGCGAAGGCAGCCUCCUGGGCCAACACUGACGCUCAUGCACGAAAGCGUGGGGAGCAAACAGG
rnacentral:rRNA from 1 species